ACAAAUUUUGGGGGGCAAAAAGAAAAAAAAUCCCGACUUCAAAUCACACAAAUAUGGUGAACCAUAAUAAAAAUGCCACUUAAUCACAUAACAAUUUAAGUAAGGCUCCUAUCAGUUGGUAAGCUCCAUAAUAGCAGAAACUAUGUCUCCAUCGGCUGCCUUCAAAGCCUGAACGGCCUUGGACCUGGAGACUCCUGCUUGUGUCAUCACCAAUUCAAUAUCCUUUGGCUCAACUCCAGUUUCAUCCACCUCUUC
rnacentral:misc_RNA from 1 species